rnacentral:lncRNA from 1 species
UGCCCCCUUUUUUUUCUUUUGGAUCCCCUGUCGCUGUCGACUGGACUAUUGACCCUAGGCAUCGUCGUGCCACCGCCGCUGAUCGUUUUGACUUGUCUCACCACCGACCUAUACCCUCCUGUCAUCCCUCUAAAAAUUCCAAGAGGCUUUGGGUUUGGCCAGGAAAGAAAGAAAAAGAGAAAUAAAUGAAGAAAGAAAAUAUAAGAAA